AAGCUUUUGAGAUACAGCCACAGAAUCUCAGUACAGUACAUAGGAAAUGACUCAUAGAGGAGUUGAAUCCAACGCGUGGGUGUGGGCGCUAUUAAAACAAGACUGAAAGUUUGGGGUGGGUCAUUCACACGCGCUGCUUUUGCUAUGCUUGAAACCCAUUUGUGGCUUUUAAUCUUUUGAAAUCGCUGUGGGAUUUCAAUAUAUAUAAAGCUCAAUGGAUUCCGGUGCUAUGUUGCGUUGCCUCUAUUGGAUUACUCUAUUGAUCGCCACGCUUAUUCAUGGAAUAAACGCGGAUAAAAGUUCAGCCCUUUGUUUGAAAUCGGAAUUCUGGAACAAAGAUGUCGCACAAUGUGUACCUUGUUAUAUAUGCAAACAGUACCCGAAAACCCCAUCAUGUGACACAUGCCCACCCAUAGAGCCUUCGAAUUCCUGGAGGGUGGCAGCAAUUACCAGUUUAUCUGUCCUGGCAGCCGUAAUUGUUAGCGGAGCCUUGCUCAUAGGCGUUCUAGUACAUCAAUGCAGGUCCAAGAGGACCUUACGUGAACCGAUUGAAGAGACAACAGGACCCCUUUAUCCAGUAUAGGUUCUUCAUAAGCUCAUGGAACUCAAGCUGACAGCAUAUGAAAAUGGACUGUUACUCCAGUCAGUUAAACACAGGCUGGUACCUCAACCACAGAGUGUUCUAGGAGUAGCAUCUGAUUUGUCUAAUUUAUUACAUUAGUAGGCUAUGUCAUGCAUAGCAAAUGAUUAUGCAAAAAAGCUGCACUGAGACCUUCCUUGUCACUCACUGUGCAGAACAGGUUUGCAAGCCUUAGGUGCUACGUGACAUCCUAUAGACAGCAAGAUAGCAUAUUUUAUAUUCCUUUUUUUGGAACCCCUCAAAUGCUUUAGUGACAGGUUUUGUUACACUGUUUUUGCAAAAAAUGUGUGGCCAUUCAUGUUGCACUUAGAGUGCACUGUAGAUGCAUUUCCACCUGAAUAUUCCUUGUUAGAUUUGCAAACACGAUAAACACAAAUAACCGAAACUAGUUUAACAUAGACUUAGAGAUGAUCCUUUUUUACACAAAUAUGCCUUAUAGACAGACUAAGUAUGGCACAUAGCCAUUUGAAUGUAUUUGUAAUCUUUGUACAGUUUAAUUAUCUAUUUUUAUAGUGUUGGAAUACUAUGCACUGUAUAGAUGUAGCCCUUUGUACAACAAUAUUCUGACACUGACUGGCUCAGCAGCCCGUCUAUGGCAUUGAUGAACAUUCUGGAGAUGUGGAGGCACUGAAGAGCAGCGAAGACAAAGCAUUACCUGAAAGUGAAGAGUUGCCAGCUGACAUGAACAGAUUCUUUAAAAGAGCUGCAGGUGUCAGAUUCAAUCUUAGUUUUCCUACCUUUAUGCGCAUAAGAGAUUAGAUAGUUUAGUGUGAUAUUUACAUACAUCUAUCGUGAUGCAUUUAAUCUCUCGUGUUUUGAAGAUGUGUGUAGCCUGCUGUGGGCAUUAGGAAAUGUAUAUAUUUAUAUGCAGCAGAUGCUGAGGAGUAAUGAAAUUAACUUGUUUGAAAGACAUCAAGCAUUUUUAGAAAGGUUAAUCUCACAAAACCUGUGAAAAAAAGGUCUGAGUCACAUUUCAACCCAGAAAUUAUUUUGCUUAAAGAAAUCAUCUUUUUUUUUUUUGCAGUGUUACAUUGUUUUCAAGAAAACUAAGCACAUUUUAUAUGCCAAUUCCCAAGAAUACUUUAUGUACCUCAAUGCAAAUCACUGCCAUGUUUGUCAGAAAUCUAGAAACAUCAAGAAGCUAGUCCAGAAUCUUGAUAAACAUAAACCUGCGAAGCAUGCACAGCACUGUCACAGUCUUGAGUAAAGUUGGUUGUGUAUAUGUGCCUUUACUCAUUCACAAUUACUCCACAGACUGCAGAGGAAACUAUGCAUUUGAAUGCAAUAAAGAGACAACUAAUGUAC
ensembl:lncRNA